rnacentral:rRNA from 1 species
GACGAACGCUGGCGGCGUGCCUAAUACAUGCAAGUUGAGCGCUGAAGGUUGGUCCUUGUACCAACUGGCUGAGCAGCGAACGGGUGAGUAACGCGUGGGGAAUCUGCCUUUGAGCGGGGGACAACAUUUGGAAACGAAUGCUAAUACCGCAUAAAAACUUUAAACACAAGUUUUAAGUUUGAAAGAUGCAAUUGCAUCACUCAAAGAUGAUCCCGCGUUGUAUUAGCUAGUUGGUGAGGUAAAGGCUCACCAAGGCGAUGAUACAUAGCCGACCUGAGAGGGUGAUCGGCCACAUUGGGACUGAGACACGGCCCAAACUCCUACGGGAGGCAGCAGUAGGGAAUCUUCGGCAAUGGACGAAAGUCUGACCGAGAAACGCCGCGUGAGUGAAGAAGGUUUUCGGAUCGUAAAACUCGGUUGGUAGAGAAGAACGUUGGUGAGAGUGGAAAGCUCAUCAAGUGACGGUAACUACCCAGAAAGGGACGGCUAACUACGUG